AUGGUACUUAGAUUAGAUAUAUCGGAUUGACAGAUUAGAUCAAAUUGACUAAAUAGAUUGACGAAACGAUUUGAUUUGAUUAAAAAUCAAAUCAUACGGUGUGAAACAACAUUUGUCUCUAAAAUUUAAACCCCCGUGACCUCCUAAUCUUAUAUCAUAUGAAAUAAUUAUUUGUCUCUAAAAACUUAAACUGUCCAGAAACAUUACCGUUAUAUAUUUAUAUACAGCAUGUGGUUCACCAAACACUGC
rnacentral:lncRNA from 1 species